UACAUGUGGGGCAAGCGUUGUUCGGAAUUACUGGGCAUAAAGGGUGCGUAGGUGGUCUGGUAAGUCAGUGGUGAAAUCGUCCGGCCCAACCGGACGCCUGCCAAUGAUACUGCCGGACUCGAGUGCGUGAGGGGUGGGGGGAACGAGCAGUGUAGCGGUGAAAUGCGUAGAUAUUGCUCGGAAGGCCAAAGCCGAAGGGACCCCACUGGUACGUAACUGACACUGAGGCACGAAAGCGUGGGGAGCAAACAGG
rnacentral:rRNA from 1 species